CAUGAGCUGAAAGAGAGCCAUUUAACGCGUACUGACAGACAAGGCGUGCCAGGCACUGGGACAGGUAGACUAGGUGACGGUGGCGUCCAGCUGACCUUGAGAGGCACAGAUGUGAAGUGCAGGGGACCAGUGGGAGGCGGACAAGAGGAUCUGGUUCCACCGCGAGUACAGAAGACAGUGUGCGGGACAGAGAGGAAGCGGGCCCACUGAAACGUGGAGAAAACGGCGGGCCAGUCUUAUUCAAGGAAGGGACCUUAAUACUGAGAAAGCCACAAAGAAGCCCACGAAGCCACAGCUGGAACAGAACCAUGGGCCCCAGAAGCUGGGGGCGGAGAGUGUUAAAGAGGAACCCCCCCUCCUGCACGUACUCAGGAAACUGGGGGCCAGGGAGGCGGGGCGUCGAUGAGCGAAGGUGUUUCUUUCACAAGGAGGGGGCGGUCUAGCACGCCGACACACGGCAGGUGCAGCGAGCGACAGCGAACGUGAGGAGCAGAGGAUCUGGGCCUGGGCGAACCCGCGCAGCAGCCACUGGCCCCACGUGGCCACUGACAUUUAAAUGCCACAGCAGAGACAGUUCACGCACUUGUAAGAUGGUUCACAUGGACUACAAGUCCUUUCAUCCUAGGUUCACAGCCUCCUACCAAUGGGAGUCCUACCAGAGUGUCCCAGGCCUUUCUCCGUCCUGACACCACCCCAGGGAGAGGCGGUGCAGCCUGCGGGGUGCCAGGAGUGGGCAAACACCCAGGGGUGCGGGGACUGGGUGCUUCCUGGAUUUCAUAUGAAAUGGACCCUGAAGAGGAAGAAGAGAAGCUUCCUAAUGAAGCGGGAAAACACGAGGCAAACAGUGGGGGCUCUUCACCUGACCUUAUGGCAACCCGCCACACUGGGCGCUCACUGGCAGGAAAUGCUAUCCAAACACCCCACACUCCAGCCACACCGAUUUAGCUGCAGAAUUCAAUAUUCAUUUCACAUUUAUUUUCACCUCUGUAAUCCUACUAAUCCUCCCUCCUCGCCUCUGUGGCAAACACUUAUUUCAAAAACGAACCCACUGUAUACCUUCCUAUACAUCUGCUACAUGUUGUUAACCUCGUAGGUGUUAAAUAGC